UUGAGAAUAUAUAUAUAUAUAUAUUUCAAUUUUUGUUUAGCAAAGUUGGAUAAUGAAGGUUAUAAAUUGGGUAGGGUGAAAAGCAUUAUAUGAUGUUUGACUACAGCCAGACAUAACACUUAACUGUUUAAAUGUAGGUGUUUGAACCACAAGCAACUAAGCUUACAAGCCAAUUUAGAAUAGUUUAAACCUCCUACAAUGUUUCACAAGUAUACCUGGAUAAUCAGGUAUUAUUUUCACCUGUUCCUCCCAGUUUAGUGUUAUGUGUGGACACCAAACUUUCUGCAAUUAAUCUUUGGCUGGUCGUCCAAGCAUCCGACAAUGCAUUGCUCCUCACCCUCUGACUUCUUCCCCAACCUGCAUAUGACAACUAGCUACUCUGGUACAUAGCCAGAACUCUACUGCCCCAACUUGUAUUACCUAUGCCUGAUCCAGUCCUUGCAAUCCCAGGCUGACUUCAUGUAAUUGGCCAUGACAUUCACUGGAACGCUUUCCCUUUUCGGUCUGCUUGGACACAGCUGUCUCCUGUUGGGUUAACAGCUUGCCCUCCAGCAAGUUUUCCCUAAGAGGGGCCACAGGGGUUUUCUCCUGCCAUGUCUUGUUGAUAUGGAUAAUUGCUUGGAGGAAGUUCACUAAUCCAGCUACUCCUGGGUUUCUUUUCAGUCACUCACUUAGGUCUUUGUCUCAGGGCUCCGCCUCCCCUACACCCCCGCCUUGCGCCAACCAGUGAUGAUGUUAGUCUUUGGCCAAAGCUAAAGAAAAGUCAACCUGCCACAGCUGAGCCUUUGGCCCUUAUCUAAACUUAGUCCCAAUCUGGAUGGUUUGCUGUCCUUUUGUAGGCCUCACGUUGGCCUAACUCAUUAUAGGAUUCAUCCUGGGAUUUCCUCAGGGUACUCUGUCUUCCCCCUCCAGGGGCUACUCACAGCUCCCAUUUCCUUUCUUUUUGUUUUCUCUCUCUAGGCUCACCGCUGUCCCAGUCUCUCUCAGCAUUGUCCAGGAUCUAUGGUCUUGAGAGAGGCUGGCAGAGUUCCAGGAGUGAAGGGCACAGGGUCGAGACUGGCCAUCAAUGUUUACAAAUGGGUCCUGGUACAGAAAAGGCCAAGAACAACUGGUCUAGGGUAUACCUCAAUUGCAAUCACUUAGGGUUCUGCACCUUAUGCUCCAGUUCGUGCUGCUACAUGUAUGCUGCUACUGAUACCUGACCUAGCUACUUUAAAGCUAGCCCUGAUAUGUGAAAGCUGUACUGCACUGGCAUCAAACUCAGCACUGGCUUGAGGGUUCAGGAUUAUCGCCCAGCUGCACCAACACACAACACAAGAAAGAUUGUCAGACACUUGAAAGCUGAAAACUACCCAAAGUGUGUGUCUACAUAAGAUAGUUAAUGCUCAUUGGACUAAUUCUACUGCUCAUUAGCACGGCUGGCAAACAUUGUGCCAAUUCAGUCCAUUAUGCAAUGGCACUUUAAGUGCCACACAAAAAGCAUUCAUUUGCUCUAAUGAGCAGUACAGCUGAUUAUGGCACAUUAAGUUUAGUACCUGUUAUUACAGGUAGGUAAUAUUAUUACAGGUACCUGUUAUUACAGGUAGGUUAUUACUAGAUAUUAGUACCUGUUAUUACAGGUACUAAACUUAAAGCACCAUAACUACAGCACAUUAAGGAACAUGUAGACGAACCCAAACACUACGUAGGACUAGGACUUAAUGGGGCCUAAUGGCUGAGUCCACUUGUCACAGCCUGAAAACCAUAGAGAAGGAUACUAGACCAAGUUGUAAUGAUUUCAGUGCCCUGAACUUCCUAAGCCUCCCUACUUCUUCUGCCAGUCUCCAUAUAUCUGUCCUCUUUUCUCUGUGAGAAACCUGAGUACUACACAUCCUUGACAUCCAGACCUUCUCUUCUCCAAUUUUGUGCUACCAAGCUCCACUUUUAUGAAAGCAAAUGAGUUUGUGCCCUAUAAUCAUGUGAGUUAAAGGCAAUAUUUGAUAGCUUGAAAAUGGUAUUUAAAGGUUUGAUUUUUGGGAAUUGGCUUAUAGGUAUGUGUAUAUAUAUAAUAUGCAUUAAAAUGGUUCAGGAUGGGCAGCAGAGGUUAAUUGAUUUCUAAAAGCCUGGGUCUCACACAGUUUUCUCAGGCUUCAAAAGCAGACAGGCUUACAAACAAGGACACAUAAUCUGAGAAAUUGGGGGCAUGCACCACAUUGUUCCAUAACAUGAAAUAGAGUGGCACCAGCUCAUAAGGCCAAAGAGGGGGGCCUAAAAUUCCUGUUUUGGGAAGGGUGUGCAUGUGAUGAGCUUGGAACGUACUAACAAAACAGGACAUGGACAGUAUGACGACCACAGAGAAACCAAUCAGCAACAGCCAUGGAUGGAAAGUCAUCAGGAGGGAAGGAAAAUACAGAAGCAGAGAGUAACAAAGUGUCCUCCUCCCCAUCCUCCUUCCUGUCCUCCAUCCUGAGAGGGUCCCUGAGAGGGGUCCCCAUCUCCUGGAAAGGGUCCCUGAGGCCACCAUGGGCAGAGGACACAUCACCAGCCCAACUCAUCCACCCCAUGGAGGGGUGACAGGUGGACCUCAGCAUCCUACCUCCAGGCUUCUGAUAUGUUGACAUCUGACACCUAAGAGAGACUUCAGAGCGAAGCCUGCAUCCUGGCCAGAUAUAUCUUAAACGUGAUAACAGCCCCAGGAUUGGUAGAUAUAUAGAAUUGCCUGAUUGUUUGUAUUGUUGCUUUUCUGUUAUUACUGUGUAUCAAUAAAUUUGCCUAUUAU